AAACCUGGAGAAUAAAACAGGAGCAACAAGGAGAGCUGUUUGAAGAAAAAGAGGAGAAUGAAGAAUCAAGUGAAGUUGAGAAAAAUCAUGUCAAAACUG